ACGAGUUUUAAUUGUUAGGUUAGAGUUGAGCUGGUUAAUCUAAUUGAUAUGUGCUUACUCUAAUCGAAACAAGUCCACUCAUUACUUAGCACUUGUGAACUUAUUCAUUACAAACAUUAUUAUUUGUUAUUGGAACGUUUGAUUAUUAAAAAGUUAAUA
rnacentral:misc_RNA from 1 species